GAGUACGUGAAACCGUUUAGGGGUAAACCUGAGAAACCCGAAAGGUCGAAGGGAGAAAUUCAUUCGCGUCUCGUCAUCGGCGAUCGAUUGUCGUGCGACGGAGGCGUACAGUUAUCGUUUUCGCUCCUUCGGUCGAUCGAACCGGAGACGAACGCGUGCACUUUUCUCCUGGUAGGACGUCGCGAUCCGUCGGGUGUCGGUCUACGGCUCGCGGAGGAGCCCGUUCGUCGUCCUUCACGGGACGUGUACGAGCGGACCCGCGUGUUUCCCGGCCGACCCGCUCGACGGUAUACGAAAGGUUCGGAGCCGCUCUUUCGAAGCGUUCGGCUCGCGGCAAGCGCGUCAGAUGUCGUCGGCGAUCGGACCUAGUGCCGAUUCCGACCACUGACGACUGUUGGCCGCGAAGUUCUCGAACAGACUCCGUUUCUCUCGCAAGAGAGAAGUAAUAACCGAUCUGCACGC
rnacentral:rRNA from 1 species